CGCUGCGAGAGGCGCGCGCGCACGCGCACUCGCACGCACCGGCGGGGACGGCGGAAGUGGAGUGAAGACAGAGCUGCCCGCGCCGAGUGGGUUCUGGUUGGGCGCGGAGCAGUCGGUCCGUAAAUUGGGAGCAGUGCAGCAUAUGUGGAAAGUUCAUUUCUUUUUCUGUGAAGGCAUGGAACUGUCUGUACCAGAGUUCACCUUGUCUCUAGAAGAAGAGGGGUUGCUGGUGACAGAAGUCAUGAUCUGUCUUCCCUUCUGAAAACACAACCAGCUCCACGAGAUCACCAAGCAAGAUUUAACGCGUUCAUGCCUGGGAACCACAGUUCCUGAUUAGAGCCACAAGGAGAAGAAGGCAGCUGCUUCCCAUGAGGCUUUGCCAAAGGAGAGUGACUGCAAGUUUGAAGGAAUAAAAAGGGAUUUGCUCUUUUCGGUUUUGCUUCCUGUUCCUGAGGGUCACACUAGCAAUGCUUCUUAGCAGCUGUUUAUUUCUAAAAGAGAAUCUGAAUCUAGCUUGUACUUUUCCCAACACUCUCACACCAGUCUCAUUGCCCCUCCCAGAGGUUAUCAGCACAGCCAGGAAGUGUUCCCUCCUCAAAGGUCUGAAUCCCAGCCCCGGGACCCUCCUCUGAGUCUAGAGACCAGAGCACUCGCUGGCUAGUGCCACUCCUCAAAGAUCUGGGUCCUAGGUCCUUUCCCCACUUUGCUCUCAGAAUGUUUGGUGGGGCCAGACUUCUUGCACUUGCAUGCAUGGAAUUAAAAUUCAGGUCAUUGUAUUUGUAUAUUAAAGGCAAGGACAUCA